UGAAUCACUCCUUCCUCUGUGUCCGGGAAACACUGGGCAGAGCUCUCCAUUAGCAGGGAUUGUAGUCAAUUUCAGUUUCGUCUAUUUAUACAUCUGUCUCCCUCUCAGUCCCAGGAUGGGACAACCCAUCCCAGCCAUCUUUCCUUCUCCAGUGCUUGAUACAGAGCUGGCACCUGAUACAAACUCAGCUGAUGUUUAUUGAAUGAAUCACUGAAUCACAAUUGGAAUGAGCACCUAUUGAGCACCAACUGUGUACCAGGUAGUAUCAUCUUCUGGUUACUCAUCUGUAUUCACCGCCAACUGCAAGGUCUACGAAGACACCAAGCAAGCCUUAUUAGGCAACUUCUAUAGCCCUCAGGAUACCCUCAGCUGUUCAUCUUUGGCCAUCCCUUCCUCCAGUGCCGUCUUCCCUCCGUGGACCAUCUCAUCCAUCCUGUGUCUCAGGAGGCAAGGUAAGGGGGCCCAGGUGAGGGGCAUAAAUAACCCAAGGCACCCAGGACUGAUAUUUAAGCACACACUCC
rnacentral:lncRNA from 1 species